rnacentral:rRNA from 1 species
GAUGAACGCUGGCGGCGUGCCUAAUACAUGCAAGUCGAGCGAACAGAUAAGGAGCUUGCUCCUUUGACGUUAGCGGCGGACGGGUGAGUAACACGUGGGUAACCUACCUAUAAGACUGGAAUAACUCCGGGAAACCGGGGCUAAUGCCGGAUAAUAUUUAGAACCGCAUGGUUCUAAAGUGAAAGAUGGUUUUGCUAUCACUUAUAGAUGGACCCGCGCCGUAUUAGCUAGUUGGUGGGGUAAUGGCUUACCAAGGCAACGAUACGUAGCCGACCUGAGAGGGUGAUCGGCCACACUGGAACUGAGACACGAUCCAGACUCCUACGGGAGGCAGCAGUAGGGAAUCUUCCGCAAUGGGCGAAAGCCUGACGGAGCAACGCCGCGUGAGUGAUGAAGGUCUUCGGAUCGUAAAACUCUGUUAUUAGGGAAGAACAAAUGUGUAAGUAACUGUGCACGUCUUGACGGUACCUAAUCAGAAAGCCACGGCUAACUACGUGCCAGCAGCCGCGGUAAUACGUAGGUGGCAAGCGUUA